GGAGGAGCUCAGAGAGAAUUUGUCUCUGUCAUCUAGUCUGUCACUUCAAGAACAGCAAAGCUGGUCUGAAGAGAAGGCUCAGUUAUUAAGAGUGGUUAUUGCUCUUGUGGAGGACUGACAUCCUAGCAUCCGUGUAGGGUCCGGGUAGAGAGGGGCAAGUCACGAAAGGCCUGUAACUCCAGCACCAGGGAUCCUAGACCCUCUUCUGGCCUGCUUAUGCAUCUGCACUCAUGAGCAUAUAUACCCCUCCCCCACACACACAGACUUAAAACUAAAGUAAAUCUCUGGCCAGUCUCUGAGUUCAGUCAGCCUGGUCUACAUCCAGGAUAGCCAGGGCUCUAUAGUAAGACUCCCUCCUUGAUAGAUGAUAGAUAAUAGAUAGACAGAUAACAAACUCUGUUUGUUUGUUUGUUUUUCUUUUGGGGGUUUUGUUUUUUGAGACAGGGUUUCUCUGUGUAGCCCUGGCUGUCCUGGAACUCACUCUGUAGACCAGGCUGACCUCGAACUCAAGAAAUCCGCCAGCUUCUGCCUCCCAAGUGCUGGGAUUAAAGGCGUGCACUGUCCGGCGGUAACAAACUCUUAAACCUUCAAAGCUAUGGUGUUCUGGCAUCAACUGCAAGGUCACUAGCCAUAAUGCUGAUUUCCAGGCUCUACCUAGACUGACAGACCUGUCCUUUGUCACUGGGAUCCAAAAAGCUGCUUUUCACAAGCACCUGGGGGAAGCCUUGCUCUUUGGAGUCAAGAGUCUCCGACACAGAUGCAUCACUAAGAUAACAGGGCAAUGCUGGGUACCCAGAUACUGCCCACUCCCAGAGGCAGGGUACAGAAGACCUGGAAAGCACAAGCUAAAAAGUGACACUGUGAAAACAGAGGGGACCAGAGAAGCUGCUGGCUGCCACAGGAUGAUGCUUAGAGGAAGACACCUGAUCAGUAACUGUUGAUGUGUUCACAAACAUUGUUGAAGGAAAAGGUAUUUGAAAGAGUAUAAUGGAUGCAGAAGAAAUCUGUAGUUAUACCUUGCUCAGCCUUUCAGAAGCAUGGUUUCACAGAAGACCCCAGGUCCCCUGAGUAAGACAAUGACUCCUGUGUGUUUCAGAAGCAUUUAUCAGCUGCCUCAGCCAGUUGUCAUUGCAUGUGUAGAGCUGGUGUUAGCAUCAAACCCUGCUAUAAAAUGUCCCCGUAGAAAAUCAUGUUGGGUAUAAUACGCUUUCUUAACUUAUACACACUAAAGGAAGUUUUUGAAAAAAUCUGUAAUAUUUGGACAAACAAACCAUAUUGUGUUGCUUUAAUGUUCUAAAUUAAACUUUUAAUAAAGAUUACCAGAGUA
ensembl:lincRNA Gm29367 predicted gene 29367